AAAUCUCUCUCCAUAUCUUUCCUGCAGCCCCCAGGUGGGGGGAAGAAAAGGUGGGGAAUUAGAUUC
rnacentral:miRNA from 1 species